GGGUAUUGUUAAUUUAUUUUUUUUCUUGUUUAUUUUUUUGUUAGAUUAUAAAUGGGUGAUAAGAAUAAUACAUCUGGAUCUUCUGCUAGUAGUAGAAGAACGGACCCAGGAUGGGCACAUGUAAUUCAAGUUAGUGAAAACAAUNGAUCUUCAAUGCAUGUACUGUAUGAAAGUUUAUAAAGGAGGAAUUAAUAGAAUCAAGCAACAUCUUGCUGGAGGUUACAAAAAUGUAAUUCGGUGUCCAAAAUGUCCAGAAGAUGUAAGGAAUCAAAUGAAGGAAUUCAUUGCUAAAAAAAAGAGAGCAAAAAUCAAUUAUGAAUAUGGAAAGACCACCUGAAUUUGAUGAUGUUGAAGCACUGGGAUUAGAUGAAAAUGAGGAAGAGGAAGAGUUGAUGCAAGAAAUUGGCAGUGAAAGAAGAAGGCAAGUACUGGAAGUUACAGGUACUAGUGCUUUUAAAAAAUCAAAAGUUGUACCACCACAAAGUAGUAGAGGGCCUAUUGACUGUUAUUUUUCCCCUAGACCUGCUGUUUUGGGAAAAAAUAUGAGGCAAACUACCAUUGAUGAAAAUAGUCCAGCUAAAAAGGAGUUAAGGGAGCGUGCUUGUGUUGCCAUAGCACGAUGGAUGUAUGAUGUGGGAAUAGCUUUUAAUGCUGUGAAUUAUGAUAGCUUUGGGGAAAUGAUUCGAGCAAUUGGAAAUUAUGGGAAAGAAAUGAAACCUCCAAGUUUUCAUGAGGUUAGAGUUCGAUUACUUAACAAAGAAGUGCAAAUCAUAAAUGAUCUUCUCGAGUCUCAUAAAGAAGAAUGGGAAAAUUAUGGAUGUACAUUGAUGUGUGAUGGAUGGACGGAUAGAAAAGGGAGAACCUUGAUUAAUUUCUUGGCUAAUAGUC
rnacentral:misc_RNA from 1 species